AGAUCCUAAUUAGCUAUAGGAACAAUUUAUACUUUACUUAAAGAUGUUACUGUUGUGUUGUAGAAAAUUUUAUUUAUGUCUACUGUUUUGUCCAGAUUAGAAAUAUGUGUGAUGUGUGCUUUCAAAAACUAAUGCUAUAUGUAGGCUUAAGAAAUUGAGCAAGGGAAACCAUUAUAUCCCCUUCCUUGUUUUAUAAACUAAAAUUCUAUCGGAUCAUACUAUGUCAAGUAACGGUUCUGUGUUAUGGCAAAAGAAAAUAUGAUUGAAACAAUUUUGGCACAAGUCUGGUAUUCAUAUGAACCGUGAUGAGAAGUAGUACUCGUUCACUAGAGAGCUAUAAAUAUAAGUCAAAAUACCUGUGAAACAAGAUUUUAAAGGCUUCCAAUAUCUGAACAUCAAAGCUUAGCUGCUGUUGCAUUCUUUACUCUUGUCAAUUGUCUGACUGCAGAGAAACAAACACAUGAGAAAAGUUUCAGGUUGGCCACAUUGAAAGUAUAAGGAAUUUGCCACAGCUUAUUACUCCCUGUUCUGUCAUAGGAUUCUCUGUCAUUCCUCUUCUGUCGUAGGAAUUUGCCACAACUACCAUGAAUUGCCAUGUCUCUUUAUACCAGUUUUAGCGAUCAGCCGUAGCUCUUUCAUCAAAGUUGCAUGGUGCAUGGUCAACAGAGGACAAGCGCUUCAUGUCCAACCAAGGUGCAUGGUGCUCACAAUUGACGAACAGAGGCUGUUCGACAUCGGCUACACAAACCACCAUUGUGAGCUCCUCCCUUUCCUCUGCUACAACCAUGCUCUAUUAGGAUGUGGCUGGAACCAUUUGAUGGCCUUCCUGGACAUGUUUUGCUGCUAUCUAGAAUUUGUACUUGUCCCAUUUUUUGUUUCUUUGCUGGACAUGUUAUGGUUCAAGGGUUGAUGAUGUCUAGUAGAUAGUUUGAUGUAUACCUGCUGCUGAUUGAUGCUCUUGUGGUUAGCAUUAUACUCCUGGAAUCAUAUUAUACUAUAUCUAGUGUUCUUGUGGUUCU